GGAAACCGGAGCUAAUACCGGAUAAUAUAUUGAACCGCAUGGUUCAAUAGUUAAAGACUGUUUUGCUGUCACUUAUAGAUGGAUCCGCGCCGCAUUAGCUAGUUGGUAAGGUAACGGCUUACCAAGGCAACGAUGCGUAGCCGACCUGAGAGGGUGAUCGGCCACACUGGAACUGAGACACGGUCCAG
rnacentral:rRNA from 1 species